UACGUAGGGUGCAAGCGUUGUCCGGAAUUAUUGGGCGUAAAGGGCUCGUAGGCGGUCUGUCGCGUCGGGAGUGAAAACUCGGGGCUUAACCCCGAGCCUGCUUCCGAUACGGGCAGACUAGAGGUAUGCAGGGGAGAAUGGAAUUCCUGGUGUAGCGGUGAAAUGCGCAGAUAUCAGGAGGAACACCGGUGGCGAAGGCGGUUCUCUGGGCAUUACCUGACGCUGAGGAGCGAAAGCCAGGGGAGCAAACGGG
rnacentral:rRNA from 1 species